rnacentral:rRNA from 1 species
ACUCCUACGGGAGGCAGCAGUGGGGAAUAUUGCACAAUGGGCGCAAGCCUGAUGCAGCCAUGCCGCGUGUGUGAAGAAGGCCUUGGGUUGUAAAGCACUUUCAGUCGUGAGGAAGGUAGUGUAGUUAAUAGCUGCAUUAUUUGUACGUUAGCGACAGAAGAAGCACCGGCUAACUCCGUGCCAGCAGCCGCGGUAAUACGGAGGGUGCGAGCGUUAAUCGGAAUUACUGGGCGUAAAGCGCAUGCAGGUGGUUUGUUAAGUCAGAUGUGAAAGCCCGGGGCUCAACCUCGGAAUAGCAUUUGAAACUGGCAGACUAGAGUACUGUAGAGGGGGUAGAAUUUCAGGUGUAGCGGU